AGCGUACACGGUGGAUGCCCUGGCAGUCAGAGGCGAUGAAGGACGUGCUAAUCUGCGAAAAGCGCCGGUAAGGUGAUAUGAACCGUUAUAACCGGCGAUGUCCGAAUGGGGAAACCCGGUGCACUUCGGUGCAUCAUCGUUAGCUGAAUACAUAGGCUAACGAGGCGAACCGGGGGAACUGAAACAUCUAAGUACCCCGAGGAAAAGAAAUCAACCGAGAUUCCCCCAGUAGCGGCGAGCGAACGGGGAACAGCCCAGAGCCUGAAUCAGCUUGUGUGUCAGUGGAACGGUCUGGAAAGGCCGGCGAUACAGGGUGACAGCCCCGUACACGAAGGCACACAGGCUGUGAGCUCGAUGAGUAGGGCGGGACACGUGAUAUCCUGUCUGAAGAUGGGGGGACCAUCCUCCAAGGCUAAAUACUCCUGACUGACCGAUAGUGAACCAGUACCGUGAGGGAAAGGCGAAAAGAACCCCGGCGAGGGGAGUGAAACAGAACCUGAAACCGUGUACGUACAAGCAGUGGGAGCCUUCGUAAGAGGGUGACUGCGUACCUUUUGUAUAAUGGGUCAGCGACUUAUAUUCUGUAGCAAGGUUAACCGUAUAGGGGAGCCGAAGGGAAACCGAGUCUUAACCGGGCGUUAAGUUGCAGGGUAUAGACCCGAAACCCGGUGAUCUAGCCAUGGGCAGGUUGAAGGUUGGGUAACACUAACUGGAGGACCGAACCGACUAAUGUUGAAAAAUUAGCGGAUGACCUGUGGCUGGGGGUGAAAGGCCAAUCAAACCGGGAGAUAGCUGGUUCUCCCCGAAAGCUAUUUAGGUAGCGCCUCGUGAACUCAUCUCCGGGGGUAGAGCACUGUUUCGGCUAGGGGGCCAUCCCGGCUUACCAACCCGAUGCAAACUGCGAAUACCGGAGAAUGUUAUCACGGGAGACACACGGCGGGUGCUAACGUCCGUCGUGAAGAGGGAAACAACCCAGACCGCCAGCUAAGGUCCCAAAGUCAUGGUUAAGUGGGAAACGAUGUGGGAAGGCCCAGACAGCCAGGAUGUUGGCUUAGAAGCAGCCAUCAUUUAAAGAAAGCGUAAUAGCUCACUGGUCGAGUCGGCCUGCGCGGAAGAUGUAACGGGGCUAAACCAUGCACCGAAGCUGCGGCAGCGACACUUAUGUGUUGUUGGGUAGGGGAGCGUUCUGUAAGCCUGUGAAGGUGUGCUGUGAGGCAUGCUGGAGGUAUCAGAAGUGCGAAUGCUGACAUAAGUAACGAUAAAGCGGGUGAAAAGCCCGCUCGCCGGAAGACCAAGGGUUCCUGUCCAACGUUAAUCGGGGCAGGGUGAGUCGACCCCUAAGGCGAGGCCGAAAGGCGUAGUCGAUGGGAAACAGGUUAAUAUUCCUGUACUUGGUGUUACUGCGAAGGGGGGACGGAGAAGGCUAUGUCAGCCGGGCGACGGUCGUCCCGGUUUAAGCGUGUAGGCUGACUUUCCAGGCAAAUCCGGAAGGUUAAGGCUGAGGCGUGAUGACGAGGCACCACGGUGCUGAAGUGACAAAUGCCCUGCUUCCAGGAAAAGCCUCUAAGCAUCAGGUAACAUCAAAUCGUACCCCAAACCGACACAGGUGGUCAGGUAGAGAAUACCAAGGCGCUUGAGAGAACUCGGGUGAAGGAACUAGGCAAAAUGGUGCCGUAACUUCGGGAGAAGGCACGCUGACAUGUAGGUGAAGCCCCUGCGGGUGGAGCUGAAGUCAGUCGAAGAUACCAGCUGGCUGCAACUGUUUAUUAAAAACACAGCACUGUGCAAACACGAAAGUGGACGUAUACGGUGUGACGCCUGCCCGGUGCCGGAAGGUUAAUUGAUGGGGUUAUCGCAAGAGAAGCUCCUGAUCGAAGCCCCGGUAAACGGCGGCCGUAACUAUAACGGUCCUAAGGUAGCGAAAUUCCUUGUCGGGUAAGUUCCGACCUGCACGAAUGGCGUAAUGAUGGCCAGGCUGUCUCCACCCGAGACUCAGUGAAAUUGAACUCGCUGUGAAGAUGCAGUGUACCCGCGGCAAGACGGAAAGACCCCGUGAACCUUUACUACAGCUUGACACUGAACAUUGAGCCUUGAUGUGUAGGAUAGGUGGGAGGCUUUGAAGCGUGGACGCCAGUCUGCGUGGAGCCAACCUUGAAAUACCACCCUUUAAUGUUUGAUGUUCUAACCUGGCGCCGUGAUCCGGCGUGGGGACAGUGUCUGGUGGGUAGUUUGACUGGGGCGGUCUCCUCCCAAAGUGUAACGGAGGAGCACGAAGGUCAGCUAAUCCUGGUCGGACAUCAGGAGGUUAGUGCAAUGGCAUAAGCUGGCUUGACUGCGAGAGUGACGGCUCGAGCAGGUGCGAAAGCAGGUCAUAGUGAUCCGGUGGUUCUGUAUGGAAGGGCCAUCGCUCAACGGAUAAAAGGUACUCCGGGGAUAACAGGCUGAUACCGCCCAAGAGUUCAUAUCGACGGCGGUGUUUGGCACCUCGAUGUCGGCUCAUCACAUCCUGGGGCUGAAGUAGGUCCCAAGGGUAUGGCUGUUCGCCAUUUAAAGUGGUACGCGAGCUGGGUUUAGAACGUCGUGAGACAGUUCGGUCCCUAUCUGCCGUGGGCGCUGGAGAAUUGAGGGGGGCUGCUCCCAGUACGAGAGGACCGGAGUGGACGCAUCACUGGUGUUCGGGUUGUCAUGCCAAUGGCACUGCCCGGUAGCUAAAUGCGGAAGAGAUAAGUGCUGAAAGCAUCUAAGCACGAAACUUGCCCCGAGAUGAGUUCU
rnacentral:rRNA from 1 species